AUGAUUUGUAGCAAUACAGAUUGAUGGCGACCGGCGCACGGGUGAGUAACGCGUAUGCAACUUACCUAUCAGAGGGGGAUAGCCCGGCGAAAGUCGGAUUAAUACCCCAUAAAACAGGGGUCCCGCAUGGGAAUAUUUGUUAAAGAUUCAUCGCUGAUAGAUAGGCAUGCGUUCCAUUAGGCAGUUGGCGGGGUAACGGCCCACCAAACCGACGAUGGAUAGGGGUUCUGAGAGGAAGGUCCCCCACAUUGGUACUGAGACACGGACCAAACUCCAACGGGAGGCAGCAGUGAGGAAUAUUGGUCAAUGGCCGAGAGGCUGAACCAGCCAAGUCGCGUGAAGGAAGAAGGAUCUAUGGUUUGUAAACUUCUUUUAUAGGGGAAUAAAGUGGAGGACGUGUCCUUUUUUGUAUGUACCCUAUGAAUAAGCAUCGGCUAACUCCGUGCCAGCAGCCGCGGUAAUACGGAGGAUGCGAGCGUUAUCCGGAUUUAUUGGGUUUAAAGGGUGCGUAGGUGGUGAUUUAAGUCAGCGGUGAAAGUUUGUGGCUCAACCAUAAAAUUGCCGUUGAAACUGGGUUACUUGAGUGUGUUUGAGGUAGGCGGAAUGCGUGGUGUAGCGGUGAAAUGCAUAGAUAUCACGCAGAACUCCGAUUGCGAAGGCAGCUUACUAAACCAUAACUGACACUGAAGCACGAAAGCGUGGGGAUCAAACAGGAUUAGAUACCCUGGUAGUCCACGCAGUAAACGAUGAUUACUAGGAGUUUGCGAUACAAUGUAAGCUCUACAGC
rnacentral:rRNA from 1 species